UCAAACUUGGUCAUUUAGAGGAAGUAAAAGUCGUAACAAGGUUUCCGUAGGUGAACCUGCGGAAGGAUCAUUACUGUAUGCUUGCAAUGUUGCCUGGGGAACCUCGCAGCGCUUGCUUGCUAACCCUUGCCUAUACUUACCUUCUGUUACCUCCUUCGGCAGGAUAUCCUGUCGCUGGAACAAGUCAAAUUCUUUUGCAUCUAGCACCACAUUUCAGAAAACAUCAAGUUAUUACAACUUUCAACAAUGGAUCUCUUGGCUCUGGCAUCGAUGAAGAACGCAGC
rnacentral:misc_RNA from 1 species